AUGUUGCUCUCUAUGUUUGGUUGGACAGUCAAGGAACAAUGCAGUGCAUAAUUUAGGCACCUUCAAUAUAGUGAUCUAGGCUGCAAGAAGGCUCUUCGGGAUCUAAAGCUCCAAAGGUGAAAUUUUUGAGGGAUGCAGUAUUGGGGAUAAUUUCAUCAAAGCCAUCUGCUGUGACAAACAGAUCCGUGGAGGUUAGGUCCGUGGCGAAGGGGUAAUCAUUAAUGUUUCCACCCUUUGGAUAACUUUUUUGCUUCAAAAAUUUUAUCUUUAUUAGUUAUGC